GCGGGAGAAGAGGAGAGACGCCGGUGAGGACGCGGAGAAGGUUAGUGUGUUUGUUUGUGGUCUUUCUGUUUCUAGGUGGAAGCUGAAUUAGUGAGGAUGACUCCUGCUCCUGUCAUCUCUAAGCUCCUCCCACAUCUUUACCUGCACAUGAGGAAAAUCACUCCUGUAGAAUGCAGUGGUUCAUCAGAACCUCUGGGGAUGUCCUGUGGAUUCUGUGGAUCCUGUGGGUUGCAGGGUGGGUCCUACCUAGACCAGGCUGAUCCUGGACCAUCCCACAGAUGCUCCAUCAGAUCUGGAUGUGGGGAGUGUGGAACCCAGAUGUUCAGAGGGAGAUGAUGCCACAUCUGGUCCAGCUGAUGGAAGGUCUUGAAGUUCUCUGACUGGCCUCGACUGA
ensembl:lncRNA